GACGAACGCUGGCGGCGCGCCUAACACAUGCAAGUCGAACGAGCGAGCGGGAGCUUGCUUUCUCGAGCGAGUGGCGAACGGGUGAGUAACGCGUGAGGAACCUGCCUCAAAGAGGGGGACAACAGUUGGAAACGACUGCUAAUACCGCAUAAGCCCACGGUGCCGCAUGGCACAGAGGGAAAAGGAGCAAUCCGCUUUGAGAUGGCCUCGCGUCCGAUUAGCUAGUUGGUGAGGUAAUGGCCCACCAAGGCGACGAUCGGUAGCCGGACUGAGCGGUUGAACCGCCACAUUGGGAAUGAGACACGGGCCAGACUUCCACGGGAGGCAGCAGUGGGGAUAUUGCAAAACGGGGGAAACCCUGAUGCAGCGACGCCGGGUGGAGGAAGAAGGUCUUGGGAAUGUAAACUCCUGUUGUUUGGGAAGAUAAUGACGGUACCCAACAAGGAAGUGACGGCUAACUACGUG
rnacentral:rRNA from 1 species